rnacentral:sRNA from 12 species
AACCUAACCCUACUAAUAUUAAUUUACUAGGUAUGGUUGAAAUUCGCCGAAAAACACAAAAACCCCGUCAUUAGGGUUUUGACGUUUUUCGGCGUUGCUAAGGGAAACCUUAGUAAGAGUAUGCUUCGGUAUAUUUU